rnacentral:lncRNA from 1 species
CAGAUGUGGAGUGAGGAAGAUAGCAAAGCCCUCUUAAACACAUGUUUGGAUCAUGGACAGACACAGGACUUCAUAAGAAGAGUUCACCAUGCAUGGCGUGGACACACUCCAAGCUGUUCACACUGGCUUGUUUCCAAAUGGGCACAAAUCCCCUCUGCAUACCCAAGUGAAUGAUCAUCUCCAGUGCAGUGGCUGAGCUACGCGAUUCUCCCAUAACUGUCAUGUUGAUGGUAAAACAACCUGAAGAAAUGAGAAAAAGCCUGGUUGGUUAUCAUUUCCUUCCAACUAUCCUUCACACUUCACUGCACCCAUGAGUAAAAUUUGUGU